UUAUGGCCAUAUCACGUUGAAACAUUGGUUCCCAUAUGAUCACUGAAAUUAAGCAAUGUCGAACCUGGUCAGUACCUUAAUGGGUGACUGCUUGGGAAAUGC